CACAUGCAAGUCGAGCGCACCCUUCGGGGUGAGCGGCGGACGGGUUAGUAACGCGUGGGAACGUGCCCUUUUCUGCGGAAUAGCCUCUGGAAACGGAGAGUAAUACCGCAUACGCCCUUUGGGGGAAAGAUUUAUCGGAGAAGGAUCGGCCCGCGUUAGAUUAGGUAGUUGGUGGGGUAACGGCCUACCAAGCCGACGAUCUAUAGCUGGUUUGAGAGGAUGAUCAGCAACACUGGGACUGAGACACGGCCCAGACUUCUACGGAAGGCAGCAGUGGGGAAUCUUGGACAAUGGGCGCAAGCCUGAUCCAGCCAUGCCGCGUGAGUGAUGAAGGCCUUAGGGUCGUAAAGCUCUUUCGCCAGGGAUGAUAAUGACAGUACCUGGUAAAGAAACCCCGGCUAACUCCGUGCCAGCAGCCGCGGUAAUACGGAGGGGGUUAGCGUUGUUCGGAAUUACUGGGCGUAAAGCGCGCGUAGGCGGACCAUUAAGUUGGGGGUGAAAUCCCGGGGCUCAACCCCGGAACUGCCUCCAAAACUGCUGGUCUUGAGUUCGAGAGAGGUGAGUGGAAUUCCGAGUGUAGAGGUGAAAUUCGUAGAUAUUCGGAGGAACACCAGUGGCGAAGGCGGCUCACUGGCUCGAUACUGACGCUGAGGUGCGAAAGUGUGGGGAGCAAACAGGAUUAGAUACCCUGGUAGUCCACACCGUAAACGAUGAAUGCCAGUCGUCGGGUAGUAUACUAUUCGGUGACACACCUAACGGAUUAAGCAUUCCGCCUGGGGAGUACGGUCGCAAGAUUAAAACUCAAAGGAAUUGACGGGGCCCGCACAAGCGGUGGAGCAUGUGGUUUAAUUCGAAGCAACGCGCAAACCUUACCAACCCUUGACAUCCUGUGCUAACCCGAGAG
rnacentral:rRNA from 1 species